rnacentral:rRNA from 1 species
GGACCAUCUCCUAAGGCUAAAUACUCUCUAGUGACCGAUAGUGAACCAGUACCGUGAGGGAAAGGUGAAAAGCACCCCGGAAGGGGAGUGAAAUAGAACCUGAAACCGUGUGCUUACAAGUAGUCAGAGCCCGUUAAUGGGUGAUGGCGUGCCUUUUGUAGAAUGAACCGGCGAGUUACGAUUUGAUGCAAGGUUAAGCAGUAAAUGUGGAGCCGUAGCGAAAGCGAGUCUGAAUAGGGCGUUUAGUAUUUGGUCGUAGACCCGAAACCAGGUGAUCUACCCUUGGUCAGGUUGAAGUUCAGGUAACACUGAAUGGAGGACCGAACCGACUUACGUUGAAAAGUGAGCGGAUGAACUGAGGGUAGCGGAGAAAUUCCAAUCGAACCUGGAGAUAGCUGGUUCUCUCCGAAAUAGCUUUAGGGCUAGCCUCAAGUGAUGAUUAUUGGAGGUAGAGCACUGUUUGGACGAGGGGCCCCUCUCGGGUUACCGAAUUCAGACAAACUCCGAAUGCCAAUUAAUUUAACUUGGGAGUCAGAACAUGGGUGAUAAGGUCCGUGUUCGAAAGGGAAACAGCCCAGACCACCAGCUAAGGUCCCAAAAUAUAUGUUAAGUGGAAAAGGAUGUGGCGUUGCCCAGACAACUAGGAUGUUGGCUUAGAAGCAGCCAUCAUUUAAAGAGUGCGUAAUAGCUCACUAGUCGAGUGACACUGCGCCGAAAAUGUACCGGGGCUAAACAUAUUACCGAAGCUGUGGAUUGUCCUUUGGACAAUGGUAGGAGAGCGUUCUAAGGGCGUUGAAGCAUGAUCGUAAGGACAUGUGGAGCGCUUAGAAGUGAGAAUGCCGGUGUGAGUAGCGAAAGACGGGUGAGAAUCCCGUCCACCGAUUGACUAAGGUUUCCAGAGGAAGGCUCGUCCGCUCUGGGUUAGUCGGGUCCUAAGCUGAGGCCGACAGGCGUAGGCGAUGGAUAACAGGUUGAUAUUCCUGUACCACCUAUAAUCGUUUUAAUCGAUGGGGGGACGCAGUAGGAUAGGCGAAGCGUGCGAUUGGAUUGCACGUCUAAGCAGUAAGGCUGAGUAUUAGGCAAAUCCGGUACUCGUUAAGGCUGAGCUGUGAUGGGGAGAAGACAUUGUGUCUUCGAGUCGUUGAUUUCACACUGCCGAGAAAAGCCUCUAGAUAGAAAAUAGGUGCCCGUACCGCAAACCGACACAGGUAGUCAAGAUGAGAAUUCUAAGGUGAGCGAGCGAACUCUCGUUAAGGAACUCGGCAAAAUGACCCCGUAACUUCGGGAGAAGGGGUGCUCUUUAGGGUUAACGCCCAGAAGAGCCGCAGUGAAUAGGCCCAAGCGACUGUUUAUCAAAAACACAGGUCUCUGCUAAACCGUAAGGUGAUGUAUAGGGGCUGACGCCUGCCCGGUGCUGGAAGGUUAAGAGGAGUGGUUAGCUUCUGCGAAGCUACGAAUCGAAGCCCCAGUAAACGGCGGCCGUAACUAUAACGGUCCUAAGGUAGCGAAAUUCCUUGUCGGGUAAGUUCCGACCCGCACGAAAGGCGUAACGAUUUGGGCACUGUCUCAACGAGAGACUCGGUGAAAUCAUAGUACCUGUGAAGAUGCAGGUUACCCGCGACAGGACGGAAAGACCCCGUGGAGCUUUACUGUAGCCUGAUAUUGAAAUUCGGCACAGCUUGUACAGGAUAGGUAGGAGCCUUUGAAACGUGAGCGCUAGCUUACGUGGAGGCGCUGGUGGGAUACUACCCUA